rnacentral:lncRNA from 1 species
GUGGGUACUGCUAUGGUUGCUUCACGUGGACGUGGUGGUUUUUGAGGCCAUGGCUCGUUUGGACAGCGUGGUGGUUGUGGUUUUUCUGGCAGUUCCUCUUUUCAUGGUGGUCGUGGUAGUUUUUCUUCUUCCACAUCUGGUGUUCUUCGUGCGGCUUCGUCUUCUUCCAGUGGUGUUUCUUCUUCUUUCUCUGGCGGUGCUUCCUCAUCUUC